rnacentral:pre_miRNA from 1 species
GCUGCUGCUCGCACCCACUGCUGGUGCCCGGUGCUGGUCCUGAUCGCUCGGCACCAUCAAUGGGUGCGAGCGGCGGCUG